CUCUGCUCUGCGUGGCAGCCGGCUCUCUUUGUCUCCUCUCUCUCUUACAGACACACAACUGAGGAACAAUUUCUAGUUCUGUGGUUGGCACCAAGACACCCUUCCAGAAUUGGUUCCUAAUAGGUUAACUCAAACGUAGCAAUGAAAGAUUACAAAUGACCAAAGGAAAAUAAGACGGUUACAGGUGCCUUUCUCUCUCUGUCAGUCCACACCAAGGUGGCCGAGAUGCUCCAGAGCAAACAGAUGGGAGGUCUGGAAUCUAACUGCUACCUACUCACAGGCUGUACGGGGGCAGGGCAGCGGGAGGGCUGUGGGAGGGUCCCCAUCCCCUAUUUACAGAGCUGGAUAAGAAUUCCUGCCCCAGCAAGGGUAGGAGAGUCCACAAGGUGGGACAGACACAGGGCUGUGAACGUGUCUUUGGGAACUGCCUGACCAUGCGGGGCUCCCUGCCGGGCCUGCUCCCUCCCUGCUUAGCACACAGAGCACAGGAGAAUCUGGUUCCUCUGCUCCCCAGGCAACAGCAGCCGCCCUGUGGGCUCCAUGGAGACCAGGUAUAUUUAGACCACAGAAUGUUUAGAACAGCCUCGGCAGUCCAGGAGGUGGAAAUCCAAAAGCAGGAAAAUCCCACGGAGCGAAGCGUGGACGGAUACCUGACUUCAACUCACCUCUUUUAUAAAUGAAAUCCAUGAUGGCCCUGGUUACAUGAGCUCGACUCAAACUCUGAGCCCCCUGAGCUGCAGGGCCACCUGACCCCUGAGCUGCCUCUCACCUGAUGCUGCUGUGGGUGCGCUUUGGGCGAGGGACGAGUCUUAAGGAAAACGAGUGGGCACUGCCUGCCUUGCCUUUGGAAUUCUAUUUACAGUGUGACCACUGCCGGGUCGAAGUGGCCCUGUGGCCCUCUCAGACACCGGCUCUUCUUUCCAAGGCAGAAACUCAGAGGAAAGGCUGAGGUCAAGCCAUGUGCUACCGUUUAUUACCCACCUUUGGCGUUGGGGUGCCCCUAAGCCUUGAUGCCUGACCUCCCUCGGGAGAGGGACCCCACGAGGGUUCAUCCCCAGCAGAGACCACUGGAGAAGAGGUGGUGGGGUCAGAACCACCCAAUGCCCCCCGGGGAGCCCACCGAAACCGUGUCCCACACUGGUCUCGCAUGAGCAUUUUGCACUGGCUGCAGGCACAGACUCAUGGAUUUGAAGAGAAGGCUCAUCCUGCAUUCCCUCAAAAAUAAACCAGCAAACACGCAAACAAGGCAGGCAAACUGGAGUCUUGUAAGUCUCAGCAAAACUUCAUAAGGAUAAUAAUGCCCGAUCCAAGGAAUGGAAGGCCAGGGCCGACAGCUUUUCUGUGCGGAAUCUCCACUGGAGUCUAAGACAAGGCUGGUCCUGGCCAGGCUGAAGAAUUUUGGAACCCAAGAGUGCAAGCACCCGUAGAAAUCACCAUAGAAAUUACACAGCAGAGUUUCCUGGGGGCUUCCAUGGUGGUGGGGGGGGGGGGGCUGGUCCAAGUGAGGCUGUCAGUGAAUCAAAGUUUGACUAUCAUACACGCGGAAGAUCAGAAGAAUCAUCUCUCAGCCAGAAUCCUCGUUCUGUUGGCAGGGAGAUCGGGGCGCAGGGAGGCGAAGACACUUCCUGCCCCUCCAGGCCAGUGGCAGCCCCAGGGAGCAGGGGCUUGGUGGGUUCUCGUCACUGCCGGUUCCUAGUGACUGGAAGAGCACCCAGCACAUCACGGUCACUCAGCAGUUAUUUGUUCAACGGACACGUGCUCUUAAGGAGGACUGAGAGGGUGGCUUGAUCAUCUGUUAUAGUUUCAAGACAGACAUCAUGGGGAUGGAAAAGGCCCAGAGAAACGAAAAGAGCAACAGCCAGAAACAUGGUUCGAACCCAGCUCUGCUCUUUAUGAGCCUCACAAGCCUGGCAAGUUCCUUCUCUACACCUCAUCUCCCACAGGUAUGAGAUAGGGCCCGUGGCCUAUCCUGCAAGUUUGUCGUGAGCCUGACUGAGGAAAUGCGUGUAAUGGGCAGGUGCUGAAGAAACUCAAUGGAGGGACUCCUCUGGGAUCAUUACCCUGCUGCCUCCUGUACACUUGGGCAUUUCGUGCCUCGGCGGUCUGUGACACCCAAAAUAAAGAACCUGGGGAGAAAGCGUGAGCAGAGGUUGACUACUUACUUAAGUUUGGAGAUUUUUGUGGAUUUCAAGUCUACGUUAGUCCCUUUCUCAUUCUCAUAGGUUACCAGGUUUCUCAGAAUCUGUGAGUCCCAACUCUUUAAGACAGUGAAUCAUGGGAGAGAAGUGUUUCUAGGAAACUAAUACUUCCUUCCUUAUGUAUUUCUUGUUGUUGUUU